ACACACACACACACACACACACACACACACACACACACACACACACACACACACACACACACACACACAUUUAUGAACCUGGUUUCAGUUCCUGUGUUUGACCACCAGGUGUCGCUCUACAGCUAUAUAGUGUUAUUACACCUGGUACUCAGACUAAACAUCUGGUCUGCUUCUAAAGGUUCUGUUCUGGUUCUAAAGGCUCUGGUACUCACACUGAGGAUCUGGUCUGGUUCUAAAGGUUCUGGUACUCACACUGAGGAUCUGGUCUGGUUCUAAAGGUUCUAAAGGUUCUGGUACUCACACUGAGGAUCUGGUCUGGUUCUAAAGGUUCUGGUACUCACACUGAGGAUCUGGUCUGGUUCUAAAGGUUCUGGUACUCACACUGAGGAUCUGGUCUGGUUCUAAAGGUUCUAAAGGUUCUGGUACUCACACUGAGGAUCUGUUCUGGUCCUAAAGGUUCUAAAGGUUCUGGUACUCACACUGAGGAUCUGGUCCCCCUUGCGGAGCUCCCCGCUCAGGUCUGCU